UGCCGGAUCGUCUAAUGGUAGGACCGCGGCCUUUGAAGCCGUUAAUCGGGGUUCGAAUCCCUGCCCGGCAG
rnacentral:tRNA from 1 species